rnacentral:rRNA from 1 species
AUUGAACGCUGGCGGUAGGCCUAACACAUGCAAGUCGAACGGCAGCACAGUAAGAGCUUGCUCUUACGGGUGGCGAGUGGCGGACGGGUGAGGAAUACAUCGGAAUCUACUUUUUCGUGGGGGAUAACGUAGGGAAACUUACGCUAAUACCGCAUACGACCUACGGGUGAAAGCAGGGGAUCUUCGGACCUUGCGCGAUUGAAUGAGCCGAUGUCGGAUUAGCUAGUUGGCGGGGUAAAGGCCCACCAAGGCGACGAUCCGUAGCUGGUCUGAGAGGAUGAUCAGCCACACUGGAACUGAGACACGGUCCAGACUCCUACGGGAGGCAGCAGUGGGGAAUAUUGGACAAUGGGCGCAAGCCUGAUCCAGCCAUACCGCGUGGGUGAAGAAGGCCUUCGGGUUGUAAAGCCCUUUUGUUGGGAAAGAAAAGCAGCGGGUUAAUACCCCGCUGUUCUGACGGUACCCAAAGAAUAAGCACCGGCUAACUUCGUG